AGUUUCGUCGGGGCGGGUUCUAAGCCGGUUUAGGGGCAGUUUACGCGCGGAACCACCCUCCUCUUCUGACCAUGGAGGCCUGACCCGGGGUCAGGUGGCUUCCUCGAACGCGAUUUCGUCGUAACGCGUUUGGCGCGUGGCACACGCGUGCUGUCAAGAUCACGAUUUUCUUCGAGAACACGAUCUUCUUAGUUUGAUUAAUUUCGAUUCCGGUUCCAGUCGGAGUAGAUUUAAAUGAGGGCGACGCGUGCAGCAGAACGUUAGCGACGAGCAACGCGCCGGGGAAGUUGAAGAAGGGAAUUUUCCGAGGGGUGGAGAUGACGUUUGAUGGAGCCGAAUAAGCAUUUAUUUCCGGAACAGCAUCUAGGUCUAAAGGUGUAAAGGAGCGAUGCGGAUUCAUUAGAGGGAGGUCUUCGUCAAACCCCCAUAGACGUGCUGUCUAAGGUUGAGUCCUCCACUUUCGGUUCUCGAGCAGCACAACACAUUUAGUCCAUCACGAAGCGUGUAUACGUAGACCGUGUGCAAACGAUUAACAAGAUUGGAGAGAACCCUAUCCCCCUUUGAGGCGAACGCAAAGUUUACUUUAGAGGGGUGAAACGAAGCGCGCGCGAAAAAAUUCUGCGAAGAGGUCAAUCAUUACCUUCAGCAAACGGAACAAGAAGUUCACCUGGGCUAAAGAUGGCGGAUAUCGUUUUUCAUUUAUGACGAUGUUUCGAUGUCUUUGAACGAGACACCUUAAAGAUUCCCAUUUUAGAGAUGCUCGAUAUAGUUUCGAUCGAUUUUAUUUGAAUCGUAGGAAAAUUUUAAAAAUAUUAAAAAUUCUUAGAUUCUCUAAGAAUUUAUUUAUUUACAUCAAAAUGCUAAAUUGAGCAUUCGCUAUUUAUUUAUCGGAUUUUAUCAUUAAAAAAUAUAAAUAAUAACAAAUUUCCUCUGCAUCGAUAAUUCAAAGAUUACGUAACAUUACUGUUCGAAUAUGCAUCAUCAACAAAUUAAUAAUUCUUAACAAUUGUAACUUCUUUCAUCAAAUUCGAAUUACAUAAAAUCAAUCAUUUACGCGAUCAUAAAAUUUAAUCCUCAAUCUCCAAAAUCCACCUGAUUUCCUGAAACUCAUUCGAUCCUUCUUUCCAAUCUAAAAAUAAAAACUAUCCUGCAAGAAUGGAAAGCCAUUGUGACGCGGCAAAUAUCGAAUAUCGCUCAACUCGAGACGAGUUUUCCGGGAAAACACGCUUCGGAUUUUCCGUCAGAGUGGGCGGUCAUGCGGCGUUGUUUUGAUAUUGAUCUCCGGAUACAACACCGUCUAAGCAUUCUAAUGGCAAGGGACGGGGAUUCUGCGCGCUGCAUGGCGCACGUGUUUCUAAUGAUUUUAGUGGUACCGAGGUCUACCUACCGGCGAUAUAUAGUUAUAGUCGGCUACGAACACGUAUUACAUCCACUCCGCCGGGGCACCGUGUAAUAUGUCGGAAUUGCGGAAAGGGGUAACGCGGCCUGGAAGCCGGAGAGAGCCCGCGAGGAUGGUCUUGCGGGAUUCUUAAUGGCGAAAGGCCUCCGAGGUAACACUACGGCUAUUAAACGCAGACCUCGCUACUCUGUCUACCUUACUUCUCUCUCUCUCUCUAUUUCUCUCUUAUCUCCUAGCUAUAUCUAACUCUUUCUCUUUUCGCUUGCGACAAACGUAUAGGAUGGUUUCCCGUUACGUCCAUUGGAAUGCAAUGGUGUCGUGUCAUUCGAUGAUGGGAUGUUUUCUCGAUGGAUGAUAAGACAUGGAAUAUGAUAAUUUUUAUAGAAAUAUCGGGAGGAUUUGAGGUAUGAGGUAUAAGGUAUAUAAGGUGUAAUAAAUAAAAAAAGUAAAUUAUUUUUGUAGCAUUGUAUUUAUUGUAGUAUUAUAUAUAUAUUUAUAUUACAUUUAUUUAAUAUGUUACAUAAUUAUAUGAUACUUGAUAAUUGUUAUACUAUAUUAUAUAUUUAUUUGCUAUUAUAUAAGUUAAUUAAAUGGUGAAAAAUAAGAAAAAUAAGAGGAUAUGUGCAAAUACUUACUUUGUAGAGAAGAAAGUUCUUAUGAUAAAUAAUUACUAUCACUUUUGUGAAUCUGAAUAUUUAGGUUUAUUAUUCAUGUGAAAAGAAUUUAUUAUUCCCCGCGCGAAAUGUUUUCAAUAUAUUAUUGCGAUUUACUUAAUUACUUUUCCUUGAAUACAUUUUUUAAAAAUCUUUAAAGAAUAAAUAAGAACAAAAGGCAUUAA